AUACGUAGGUGGCGAGCGUUGUCCGGAAUUACUGGGUGUAAAGGGAGCGCAGGCGGGACUGCAAGUCAGUGGUGAAAUACAUGAGCUUAACUCAUGAAUUGCCAUUGAAACUGUGGUUCUUGAGUGGAUCAGAGGCAAGUGGAAUUCCGAGUGUAGCGGUGAAAUGCGUAGAUAUUCGGAGGAACACCAGUGGCGAAGGCGACUUGCUGGGGUCUAACUGACGCUGAGGCUCGAAAGUGUGGGGAGC
rnacentral:rRNA from 1 species